CAGGUGGAAUUCUCUUUUCCAUGCCCCCCCUGCAAUGACUGAAAAUUAUUUCGCUUAACCUGUAGAUUUCUUUCUUGAUUAGGGAUAAACAUAUAUAUUUCUAUCCAUAUUUGCAUCAGUCUCUAAUGUUUGUAAAUGCAUGCAUUCAUGAUUAAUGAAAAGAUUUCAAUUCGACAACUUGUUCAUUCAGCUUGGUAUAAAAAACAAAAAAACCAUUGAGAAUGAGCAAAGCUAGAAGAGGGGCAUAAUGAUAGGUGAUUACAAUGGUUGGGUUCUUUAUCCCCAUUAGUUGUAUUUGUGUUUGUCAGAGACAUCUUCAAACAGAUUUCAAUAAAUAAUAGGUGCACUAACAACAUUAGCUGUUCUUAAUUUGUAAUAUAUCAAAACUUCCUUCCUGGGUAGGAGGAAUGUCUAGAUGGAGAAGGCAGUACUUUCAAUAAGUGGCUAACCUACGCAAAUAUUCUGCUUGUUAAACAAGUAGAAAUUCUGUUCUGCUCUGGUAGACAAAUAAUUUUAUUUUUAUUUGUCAUUCAGUAUUAUUUUCUGGCAUAUAUCUUGUGGAUGUUGAGGCAUAUUUUGUUUGCAAUGUAUUUAGGACAUUACCAAAGAUAUCCAGAGACGAUUUUGAAUUAAUAUUUCAUGAGUUGGAUGACAGUCACGACUUCAAGGUAGCUUCUUCAUAUUUUCGUCUUUGAUUUAUGCUGUUGAGACUUGUUUCCUUUGCCAUCUUCUUUAGAUUUUUGUACAAAUGAAUUCACAUAGAUCCAAACAAACAUGUAUUUGUAUUUGUAUUCUUAGUUAUUUAUUGUGGAUGUUUUACUAGUUUCACCACACGUUCGGUUGUUUUAGGUAUCUCACAGCCCCAAAAUGCAGCUAAGAAAAGGGCAGAGGGGGUAAUGAAUUCGGUGGCCAAAAGGACUAGAACCAUGGAAUACAAACCAUCCCUUUGUCUUUUAGUCACCCUAGGAAGAAAGAGUUACAAUGAUUAAUAACAUAAAUAAGCAGAGGGCAUAUAUGGAAAUAACAGAAUCCAGAACACCCAAGGUUUCCCCACCUUAAGUUUUCCCGGCCUUGGCUUUCCACAUCUGCAACAAUCGCCCCUUCAGCUCUCCAAUCUACUUCCUCACCUUUGCAACCCUCCCUGCAGUAGUCCCCCAAUGGAGCCCUUUCCCCUGUAAACCCUCUGCAGCCCAGCCUCUACCCAUUCUGAUGCGGACAUCCAUUUAUUAUUUAUUUUCUAUUUGGACUAUUAGUUAUAUUUUAUUUGGACUAUUGUUUAUGUUUUCGCUAUUGGGCUUGCUUAGUGGAUUUGGCCCAAGCCCUUCUCUUUAGGGUUUGUGUUCUGCUAUUUAUUUCUGUUUUGUUUCUCAUUUGAGACAGUUGAUGAUGAAUUAGAAUUGAAAUAUUUUUGGUGGCUUGCAGCCGUUUUCUCCCUCCCCUCUCUUCCCCUGGUUUCUUCUCCUCUUCUCCAUUCUCUCUGUUUCUCCUCCCCGUUCCUUCUUCUUUCUUUCUUAUUCAUCCUACAUCAAAUUUGGUAUCAGAGCUAAAUCUUGGGUAUUUUUCUCUUAUAAUUCAAAAUUUUCUUCUUUCCCUUUUCCCAAAACUUGUUGAACAGCAGAAACAAAAAGGAUUUGUUGGAAGAUAGUAGUUUUCCUUCCUAGGUCAAAAAAAAAAAAAAAAAAAAUUUAUUGUUCAUUGUGGGUACUGUUACGCCCAGAAUUUCAGUUUUGCGAUCUGUCAAUUUCCACAAAAAAAAAAAAAAAAACUGUUCCCGGGUACUGUUCAUCCGCGGGGAAAAAAAAAUCCGAGUUGUUAUGUUACUGCUGCUACUUCCUACAAACCCUAAUCCAUACACACAAUCAAUUAUUAAUCCAAAUAGCCCAUUAUAACACCUAGUCAAAUAUUCUAGUCUCCAAAUCAUUUAACUCGUUACUCAGACUUAAUCUACAUCGACAUAAUCAUAAGUAGCCCAAGUCCUAGAGGCCAUUAUCCACAUCUCAUAUUCAGCCCAAUAAGGUCAUUACAUCAACCCAAUUAUCCAAUCUGGCCAAUAACCCAAUCCCCAGCCCAUUUAUCACAUAUUUAGCCCAACUAACCCAACCUACUCUCUACGACCCAGGCCCACUCUCUAAACACUAACCCAAACUGGCCCAUCUCUAUAACAGGAUCUAAACCCCUUCCCAUUUGGCCCAGUCCCAAAUAUCCGACCAAGCCCGAUUAUAACCAAUCAAUUAACAUCAAAUACCUCACAGUUUCACCCGAUUCCUCUCUCACAACCACUCUCUUGCUGCCAUCGCCUCUAAUCACCAUCACGCUACCACUUCAUUAUCUAUUGUACCCAGGCAUCUAGAGCACUAUCGCUUCAUCGCCAUAGGCCACCACCACCAACCCAAGAUCAUACACUUCCACCACAGUUACCACACUCAUAUAUUUCCUCGUCCAUCUCAACAAUCUAAAAGCCACAGUCACCACACUUAAUUUUACGUCCACACCAGAGCCAACACAAGUUACAGUCAACAGAGGUUAAAACCAUUGGACACGAAGGGAAGAACAGAAGCAUAGUUGGGGCUUAUAAGUUGGCAAUUCAAAUCAAGCGGCAUACAAAUAAUCAAACUAAACUACAGGGAGUUGCUAUCUCCUAAUUCUCAUUGGUUUAUACUGCUGUUUUAUUUUAAAAGUGCAUCACUUAGAUUCUUUGUGUUGCUGUUACUAUCACAACUUUGGUCUCAAACUUCACUUGAUUGGAAUCACUCAUUGAAUUGACUUGCCAUUGUUGCCCCAUUUAUCUCACUGAAUUGAUGUGCCAUUGUUACCUCUUUUAUCUACCUCAUUGGAAAUCUUGACAAUACCAUUUGAUCUUAACAAGCAUUGGACCAUUGCUUUAUUAUUUACAAGCAUCAGCACUAUUAACUUGCAUUUUUGGAAGGGAAGAAAAGAGAGAGAGAGAAUUUCAAAUUGAUGUUUUAAUCGUUGGUCCUUGAUGCAUAUUGGUCUCUCUAUUGCAUUUCAUUUAGGUAGUAUUGCUUUGCAUAUAGUUACAUAUUAGUCAUCUUGUCAGUUCUAGCUCUAGUACCUUAAACAUGAACCCCUCACAAUUCGAUGCACUCACCCGACAAAUAGCGGCUAUUCAAACUCAAAUGAUCGCUACUCUUGAAGAGAGUAAGGCCCUAUCUGUUAGUUCGAAAAAUUUUAAACACAUCCCUCAUUCGAUUGAUGUUAAUAAUUUUAAGGUGUCCCAUAAUAGACAAUAUCGUCGACAAGGUAAUCAAAAAUACUUUCGACCCGAUCGUAAGGAUAGGGAUAGGAAUAGGGAUCAGAUUCGUGAGCGAGAACGAAAUAAUUUUGAAAUUCUUACUCAAUGGAAUGCCCUUAAACAAGGAAAUCAAUUAGUGACUGAGUAUAUCGCACAAUUUGAAGAAUUUCGAAGCAAAUGUCAUUUAAUUGAAGACGAGACUACGACUUUGAGUAGGUUUAGCCAAGGUCUGAGAGAUGAUCUUAGGCGUGAGCUUUUUCUUCGAGGUGUCACUACUCUUGAUCAUGCUUACUCGUUAACUCGAGAUUAUGAGUUGAUUAUUAGUACUCCAUAUGAAAGGCGUGGUCAUCGUCGUUCACCCAUCCCAUUAGCGUCGCCUCGUCAUAAGUCUAUCAUAAAGCCUUCUCCGUCUAAUGUUCCUCCUAUUUGGAAAAAUAAUUGUAAAGGUCGUGAUAGUCCAAGAUCUUCUUCUCCAUGUAGAAAGCAUAUUGACAAACAUCCUUCAAUUUCAUUGGCUCCACCUUCUCCCGUUAAGUCCCUUCUAAGACCUUCCCCGUCUAAUCUUCAUACAAUCUUGGAAAAUAAGGGUACAAUUUUUGAAACUUCAAGGACUUCUUCUCACUUGUUGUGCGUCAGCUGUAAGGACUUUGGCCACAUUUCCUCCAAAUGUACUAAUCGAACCUUAGUCAUGGAAGAACGAAAGAAUGUAAUAGAUAUGCCAUUAGAAGAUCUAGUCUAUGAACCUAAACUUGAAGAUUUUGAUGACUUGGAUGAUAGUGAGGACACUUCUUUAGGUAGACUCCAGACUCUUCCCGAGACUUUAGAUACUAUACCCCUUGUUUUUGACAACUCUCGAUCACAUGUUAUAUGUCAUACCCUUGCACAACUCAAAGAGUUUGAUGAUUUCACUGGCCACCCUUGGAGAAUCCAGUCGCCUGUGGUUAGCAUUAAAUCAACAUUCUCCACUACUGACCAACUUCAAACUGAUGGUCAAAAUGAAGUCGUUAACCAAAGUCCUGACAAUUUAUUCAAGUCUCUAGUCCAAAAAAAUCUUAGAAAUUGGGACUUGAUUCCCCCAACUGUUCAAAUUGCGUAUAACAAUUCUGUAAAUCGAUCUCUAGGUUUGAAUCCAUUUGAAGCUGUUCAUAGUUAUAAGUCUAGGCGGCCGUUAGACCUUAUUUCCAUGUCCCCACAUGCUAGUGUGUCGAUAUCAAUUGAAGCAUUUGUGCAUCAUCUUCAUGACUUGCAUAUUAAGAUCCAUAAACAACUUCACGCAAGUAAUGCAUCAUAUAAACUUCAAACUGAUUUGCAUAAACAAUAUUUUCAAUUUCAUCUUGGGGAUUAUGUUAUAUUGCAAGCCGGUAGUGCUGGUCCUUUUAAAGUUUUAAAGCAUGUUGGUCCAUACGCACAUGUCAUUAAUUUUUCAUCACAUUUUGGCCACCACUCUACUUUACAUAUUGAAGACUUAGUUACUUACAAAGGCCUUUUUAAUUUCCUUGAUGAUCCUUUUCUACUUCCUUAUGUGGAUCCCCAACCUAAAUAUAUUACCAUUUUCACUCCAAUAACACAUGUCACAGCACACAAAGAUGUAAUUGAUGCUAUUUUAGAUAAAUAGGUUGUGUUGACCAAUGAGGAAGAUUUUGGAGAUGAGUGGCAUGAAUUUUUACUAUUGGGAGUUCAGUAUCGGUAUGUGAUUACAAAGAAAGAUCGUCCUCCUUGGUUGGAUCAUAUCCUUGAGGAUAAGCUACAACUAUCCUUGUUAUCAUUUGUGGAGUUUCGGUAUUUGAUCAUCGAGAAAGAUCGUCCCUCGUGGCAUGACUUGGAGCCUUUCGCAUCAGAUUCAGUGCAACAUUCUGCUUUAUCUACUCGACGGGAUCGAGUUUUUCUCCCACCCCAGGAGAGUUGAUGCGGACAUCCAUUUAUUAUUUAUUUUCUAUUUGGACUAUUAGUUAUAUUUUAUUUGGACUAUUGUUUAUGUUUUCGCUAUUGGGCUUGCUUAGUGGGUUUGGCCCAAGCCCUUCUCUUUAGGGUUUGUGUUCUGCUAUUUAUUUCUGUUUUGUUUCUCAUUUGAGACAGUUGAUGAUGAAUUAGAAUUGAAAUAUUUUUGGUGGCUUGCAGCCGUUUUCUCCCUCCCCUCUCUUCCCCUGGUUUCUUCUCCUCUUCUCCAUUCUCUGUGUUUCUCCUCCUCGUUCCUUCUUCUUUCUUUCUUAUUCAUCCUACAUCACAUUCUCUUUAAUUUUUAUUUAUUUAGAUAAUUUAAUUGAGAAUAAAGGCAUAUUUUCUCUUUAACAAAAAAACUGACCUUUUAAUGGGAACAUGGAUGAAUGCUGUCCACUGGGAUCAGGGUGCUACAAAUUGAAAGGUUGGGGACCAACUUGCUAUGUCACCCAUAGGUUGGGGACAUCUGCUGCAAUUUUCCCUUUAAAUUACAGUCUUGAUAUUUUAGAUUUUCAUGAAAAAGAUGCAUUUUCAAAUUCCAACCAUUGGCUUUGCAAAGUUCUGAAUUUUCAUUAUUUGGAUCUAGUGAAAGUAUGAGCUUGUAACUUACUACCAUAUGAACUUCGAAGACGAUGUGAACUAUUUGCUCUAAUCACAUCUUUGCUCUUUGUACCUUUUUGUAAGUGUCGAUUACAUUAUGGUAGGCAUUCCUUGUUGAUUAUGUUGCUUAGAGUUCAUUCUCUGGCCCUAAAAGUACUAUCUAAGUAGUAUGGUCUUGAAUUUGUCUAUUCAAGUUUUGUAACUUUCUUUUGUAUUAUUUGAUUUUAGAUUUAUAUAUGCCUCGAUACCUUCUGAACGUAAAUAUGAUAUUGUUUCUGUUAUAGAAUGUACAGCAUGUAGGAUUAAUAUCCUUAAUUAUAGGAUCCCUAAUUAGGAUCCUUCCUAAUACAGAAUUCUCAAUGUAUAUAUAUAUGGAUGUAACCUCUCCUAUGAAAAAUAAUAAUGAUUUUCUCUCCUAAUUACAGUCUCUAUAUUUAAACAUAAUUAUGGCUCUUCACUCUGGUGUAGUAUAUCGGUUUCUUUUUGACAAAUAAAAUCUUUCAUAUUAAGAAGUUGAUGAUUCUCUUUUCUAAUGGCAUCUUAGCUAUUUGGCGAUUUUUAUUUACUUGCAGAUUAAUUUGGAUGAAUUUGCUGACCUUUGCAAUGCCAUUGCACUAAGGUUUCAAAAGGAGGAUUCAGUAAGUCCACUUUCCAUUGUUCUGAGGCUUGAAUGACAUCCUUGCAACUUCUUAUAGUAUUAAAUAAAAAUGAAGGCUUUUGAUCUUCUUUCCAACACAUCAUAAUUGUUUUGCAGGUACCUAUUUUUGAAAGCCUUGCAUUUUACCGUUCACCCGCAUCUAAAAGGCUGAAAGACUUUGUUAAAAGUCCGAAAUUUGGAUACAUAAUAGUGUUCAUCCUUGCCCUGAAUUUUGUUGCAGUCAUUAUUGAAACAACGGUAUGAUUUUCAGUCAACUGUUGUAUAAUCAAAAGAAACCUAAUUAUAUCUGGUUAGAUUUAACAACUAUUCUAUAAAUGUUGUGUAGUUUCAGGAUUAACAGGACUUUAACUUGUGAAUCUGACAAAUCGUCUCUGGCAUAAUUCUUCCGAAAGAUGUUGUCUCUCUCUCUAGACUGUUCCAUUAACCAUUGCACUCCCUCCUCGACAGCUAAACAGACACAAAGUCCAAGAAUAAAUGAAGGAAAAGAAGAUACAUGUUGUAUGCCAAGGAACUAGUCAAGAAAUCAUUUGUUGAAGACAAAGUUUAAACAAAGAAAUAAAAUUGUUGUUCUCUUACUACUUAAACUUUUAGAUGAUGUGGUUCAACAUAACACUAGAGUAGGCAAAGCUCCUGAAUAAAGUCUCACCGACCCAUUUUUGAAAAUUUUGCACGUAAUUUAAAUAAAUAAAUUUGUACCCUCUUUAUUAGCUUUUAGAUGAGCUCGAUAAACAUCAUCUAGUCAUAUAUACUACCACUGGAUAUCUAAUGAUAUAUUCUGUUCAUUGUGUUUUUCAGCUUGAUAUACAGAACAAUUCUGCUCAAGAGGCUUGGCAGAAGGUGGAAUUUGUGUUUGGUAAGAGCUCAACAAAUCUUGGAUCCUAUGAGGCAUCAAAUUCAUCAUUGGAUACUAGAAUAUGAUUGAACCUCAAAUUAUCCAUGUUGAUCAAAAUCAGGCAGUAAUAAGACAGGCAGAAAUGUUUUCAAUACUGUUUUCACACUUCUUUUUUGCUUUUCGUCUCGACUUGAAUAAUGAAGAAAAGAUGCCAAGUCUGUUGGUCACAAAACUUCAUUUCUGUUAAACUAAUAUCCUAUGUGAAAAAACGUAUGAUCUGAAAACAACUGUAAUUUUAGCUUGUAUUGGGAGUCAAUAAACUUUACGUGUCAGAGGGAUAGGGAGACGAUCGAUCAUUUGUUCCUCCAUUGUGAUGUUGCUAGUUU
rnacentral:lncRNA from 1 species